GACGAACGCUGGCGGCGUGCUUAACACAUGCAAGUCGAACGGAAAGGCCCUGCUUGCCGGGUACUUGAGUGGCGAACGGGUGAGUAACACGUGGGUGAUCUGCCCUGCACUUCGGGAUAAGCCUGGGAAACUGGGUCUAAUACCGGAUAGGAGCCAUUUUUAGUGUGAUGGUUGGAAAGUUUUUUCGGUGUAGGAUGAGCUCGCGGCCUAUCAGCUUGUUGGUGGGGUAAUGGCCUACCAAGGCGGCGACGGGUAGCCGGCCUGAGAGGGUGGACGGCCACAUUGGGACUGAGAUACGGCCCAGACUCCUACGGGAGGCAGCAGUGGGGAAUAUUGCACAAUGGGCGCAAGCCUGAUGCAGCGACGCCGCGUGGGGGAUGACGGCCUUCGGGUUGUAAACUCCUUUCGCUAGGGACGAAGCUUUUUGUGACGGUACCUAGAUAAGAAGCACCGGCUAACUACGUG
rnacentral:rRNA from 1 species